rnacentral:rRNA from 1 species
AGCGAACGCUGGCGGCAGGCUUAACACAUGCAAGUCGAGCGCCCCGCACGGGGUGCGGCAGACGGGAGAGUAACACGUGGGAACAUACCUUUUGGUUCGGAACAACUGAGGGAAACUUCAGCUAAUACCGGAUAAGCCCUUACGGGGAAAGAUUUAUCGCCGAACGAUUGGCCCGCGUCUGAUUAUCUUGUUGGUGAGGUAACGGCACACCAAGGCGACGAUUAGGAGCUGGUCUGUGUUGAGGAGCAGACUCACUGGGACUGAGACACGGCCCAGAAUGCUACGGGAGGCAGCAGUGGGGAAUAUUGGACAAGGGGGGCAACCCUGAGCCAGCCAUGCCGCGGGAGUGAUGAAGGCCUUAGGGUUGUAAAGCUGUUUUGACCGGGAAGAUAAUGACGGUAACGGGAGAAUAAGCCCCGGCUAACUUCGUG